ACGCGAGGAUCUGGCCCCGCGCAGAAAAAGAGCGCCCCGGUUAGCCUCGGGGUUAUCUCUGUCCUCUGACGUGGCCUAGGCCUUUCUGGUGGGACAUCACUUCGACUCCAUCCAUCCAUCCAUGGACUUCAAGGAGAUUUUUGGCAUCUGUGGUGGAGCUGAAGGUAACAAAGAAGAUCAAAGGAAGAAAACGACUUCAGGAAAAACCAGUAAAGAAUGCUGAGGUACUGUUCUAGGUUGGAUGUGAUCCCAGGCAUGCCCAUCCUCUCUGACGUCCUCUGCAAUGACUCCUCUACCUGUGAGGGCUUCCUACUCUGUUCCAUGAGUGUGGUUAACUGUGGACUGUUUAUAUUGUUGUUGUUUAGUCACUAAUGUCCAACUCUUUGCAACCCCAUGAACUGCAGCCCUCCAGGCUCCUCUAUCCAUGGGAUUUUC